rnacentral:rRNA from 1 species
CUACGGGAUGCUGCAGUGGGGAAUAUUGCACAAUGGGCGCAAGCCUGAUGCAGCCAUGCCGCGUGUAUGAAGAAGGCCUUCGGGUUGUAAAGUACUUUCAGCGGGGAGGAAGGGAGUAAAGUUAAUACCUUUGCUCAUUGACGUUACCCGCAGAAGAAGCACCGGCUAACUCCGUGCCAGCAGCCGCGGUAAUACGGAGGUGCAAGCGUUAAUCGGAAUUACUGGGCGUAAAGCGCACGCAGGCGGUUUGUUAAGUCAGAUGUGAAAUCCCCGGGCUCAACCUGGGAACUGCAUCUGAUACUGGCAAGCUUGGGUCUCGUAGAGGGGGGUAGAAUUCCAGGUGUAGCGGUGAAAUGCGUAGAGAUCUGGAGGAAUACCGGUGGCGAAGGCGGCCCCCUGGACGAAGACUGACGCUCAGGUGCGAAAGCGUGGGGAGCAAACAGGAUUAGAUACCCCCGUAGUC